UACGUAGGGUGCAAGCGUUAAUCGGAAUUACUGGGCGUAAAGCGUGCGCAGGCGGUUUUGUAAGACAGAGGUGAAAUCCCCGGGCUCAACCUGGGAACUGCCUUUGAGACUGCAAGGCUUGAGUGCGGCAGAGGGGGAUGGAAUUCCGCGUGUAGCAGUGAAAUGCGUAGAUAUGCGGAGGAACACCGAUGGCGAAGGCAAUCCCCUGGGCCUGCACUGACGCUCAUGCACGAAAGCGUGGGGAGCAAACAGG
rnacentral:rRNA from 1 species